rnacentral:rRNA from 1 species
GACAAACGCUGGCGGCGUGCUUAACACAUGCAAGUCGAACGGAAAGGCCCUGCUUUUGUGGGGUGCUCGAGUGGCGAACGGGUGAGUAACACGUGAGUAACCUGCCCUUGACUUUGGGAUAACUUCAGGAAACUGGGGCUAAUACCGGAUAGGAGCUCCUGCUGCAUGGUGGGGGUUGGAAAGUUUCGGCGGUUGGGGAUGGACUCGCGGCUUAUCAGCUUGUUGGUGGGGUAGUGGCUUACCAAGGCUUUGACGGGUAGCCGGCCUGAGAGGGUGACCGGCCACAUUGGAACUGAGAUACGGCCCAGACUCCUACGGGAGGCAGCAGUGGGGAAUAUUGCACAAUGGGCGGAAGCCUGAUGCAGCAACGCCGCGUGCGGGAUGACGUCCUUCGGGUUGUAAACCGCUUUCGCCUGUGACGAAGCGUGAGUGACGGUAAUGGGUAAAGAAGCACCGGCUAACUACGUG